rnacentral:rRNA from 1 species
CCUACGGGAGGCAGCAGUGGGGAAUAUUGGACAAUGGGGGGAACCCUGAUCCAGCCAUGCCGCGUGUGUGAAGAAGGCCCUCGGGUUGUAAAGCACUUUCAGUGAGGAAGAACGCCUGGUGGUUAAUACCCAUCAGGAAAGACAUCACUCACAGAAGAAGCACCGGCUAACUCCGUGCCAGCAGCCGCGGUAAUACGGAGGGUGCGAGCGUUAAUCGGAAUUACUGGGCGUAAAGCGCGCGUAGGUGGCUUGAUAAGCCGGUUGUGAAAGCCCCGGGCUCAACCUGGGAACGGCAUCCGGAACUGUCAAGCUAGAGUGCAGGAGAGGAAGGUAGAAUUCCCGGUGUAGCGGUGAAAUGCGUGGAGAUCGGGAGGAAUACCAGUGGCGAAGGCGGCCUUCUGGACUGACACUGACACUGAGGUGCGAAAGCGUGGGUAGCAAACAGGAUUAGAUACCCCUGUAGUC